rnacentral:misc_RNA from 1 species
AAGUUGUAAUAAGGUUUCCGUAGGUAAACCUGCAAAAAGAUUAUUAUUAAAAAUGUGUUAGUUUUGAUUGACAGUAAUUAUGUUCAACCUUUUGUGAACCAAAAAAAACCUUUAGCUUCGGUAGCUGGGUUGCGAAAACACUGCCUAUCAAUCUGCUGUUAGCACCUUUAUCAAAACUUGUUUUAGAAAAUAUUAUCUAAAUCAAAAAUUUCAAAUAAAAUUAAAACUUUUAAUAAUGGAUCUCUUAGUUCUCA